AGAUCCAUUCAGAUCCAGUUCUACACUGAGAGGAGGAGUCAAUGCAAAACUCAGAUGUCUUCCACCUCUACUUAUCUGACUGCAGAGAGGAGGACAGAGGACAGUGGACACACAGUUUAACAUGAUGGACUAUAGGACAGGACUGCUGCUUUUAACCAUCUGCUGCUGGACAGGUGUUGAUGGUCAGACUCUGACAGAAUCUGAACCAGUGACUAAAAGACCUGGAGAAUCCCACAGACUGACCUGUACAGCCUCUGGAUUCACACUCAGCAGCUACCCUAUGGACUGGGUCAGACAGGCUCCUGGAAAAGGACUGGAGUGGAUCGCUUUUGUACACACAGGCAGUUCUCAUAUAUACUACUCCCAGUCAGUCCAGGGGAGAUUCACCAUCUCCAGAGAUGACUCCAGCAGUAAAGUCUAUCUACAGAUGAACAGUCUGAAGACCGAGGACACAGCAGUGUAUUACUGUGCCAGAGACACAGUGAGAGACGAUAAUAGGAGAGUCAUACAAAAACUACUUCCUCUAUUUACCACCACCACUGGGAACACUCUGUUAUCUCAGCAUCACUUUAUGUUUGUAAUACUGUUGAUUAAAUUCUCUGUAUUAGUGUGGUGA